CUUUCCAGCAGCUGUUUAGGCACUUAAGUGGGUAAUUUUUAGGGACUUGUUGCUGUUUUUCCAGCAGGUUAUUAGUCUCAAAUUGUGAAUGCUUUGUAGGGACCUUUUGGCUUUUUUUCUGCAGGUUUUUCAGCAGGACCCUUCACUGUUUUUCUGUGAGUUUUUUUGGCACCAAACCUUUGUGGUUUUUUUAGAGACCUGUCACUGGUUUUCAAGCAGCUUUUUAGGAAUCAAACAUCGGUAGAUAGACCCUUUAUCCUUGUGACUGACCUGUGAUGCUCCCUCCUGCAGGACGUGAUGGUCCGUAACGACAGCCCCUGUGGAACCACCAUCGGACCCAUCCUGGCCUCCCGCCUCGGCAUCCCUGUGAUGGACAUCGGAGGUCCGAUGCUCUCCAUGCACUCCAUCAGAGAGAUGUGCUGCACCUCCAGCGUCCUGCAGAGCAUCACCCUCUUUAAGGGUUUCUUCGAGUUCUUCCCCGCAGUGAAGAGAGCGCUGGUUGUCGACUAGAGCCGACGAGAACUGCAAUCGGUGGUGAAAGAGGAUGUCAUUUUCAACAUGUGAUAACCUCAAAACAUGAAAAAAAACAGAAAAUGUGUCAAUCUAAACACACGUUCAUGCUGAAAAUGACAAAUCUUUUCUUAAAAACCUGUCAGUUGCAGACCAUGUUUCACUGAUAAUCCCUAGGAUGCUGUUAUCAACUCCCAAUUUUAAAAAAUCACAAAUACACACGACAGUACACAAGCAAUCUUUCUUAUGAAAUUAUUUAGAAAAUAAUAAAACACUGAAAGCUUUUUCCCAA